rnacentral:lncRNA from 1 species
GGAAUUUUUACUCCCCAAAAGAGCGCCCCCCCAUGGCAGGAGAAAAAAGUCCAUUUUUUCUUGUCCCCUAAGGUGAAAAUACACAUUGUUGAGUGUCACGCCUAUACGCUUUGUCAAAAUGACACAAAAAUUGACACACACAUGUAACUCAAUAAGAUCUACGAAAAAGUCAAUGCGCGCGUAUCUGUCAAAUGUACGGUUAAAGGGUUAUUCCGCAUUUUUUGCCGAUCCGCACACAUUUGAAUGUGGCUAACUCCUCCUAAGGCUUUCGUUCCACCGGCACCACAUUUGCUCAGGCCAAUCUACACCCCGUGGCCAUUAAAAGUUAUUCAAAUCAUGACGCUGCACCCCACGGUUUAGGUUCUAGGGGGCGCCAAAGAUAACCCUAAAAUCCACAUAUUUAAAAGUCUUAUAACUUUUUAUUUUUGUCCUCACUGGCCUCCAAGUUUUCUAGGAUGAUGCAAUGUCCAGCCAUCAACACAUUUGUGAAGGAAUUUUUACUCCCCAAAAGAGCGCCCCCCCAUGGCAGGAGAAAAAAGUCAAUUUUUUCUUGUCCCCUAAGGUGAAAAUACAUAUUGUUGAGAUUCACGCCUAUACGCUUUGUCAUAUUGACACAAAAUUUGACAAUCACGUGCCUUGCCUGGUAUCAUUUUUUUCAGCACAACCUCACCUGUGCGAAUUUACAGUUAUUUUAUCAUGUUGACAUACUGAAUUUACACAAUGGACCCAAAUUCACACACAAAACAUAAAAUCCGAGUGGAAAAAAGUAACAUUUUUACUGUGAAAACCACAAAUAUGUGUGAACUGUUUUUAAAACUUAAACUUCAAAUAAAAAUUGUUAACUUCAAAACAUAUGCAAAUUUUUAACAAAGAACAUAGUGAUUUACCUCUAUUUUCAUCAAAAUGCAGGCAAUGGCCCAGGCGUUCUUUGUAAAAUUAUUUACAAAACACUGUAUAGUCUCACAAAUGUCACUUUUUAUUUAUGCCACUACAAAAAAACAUGAUGUAAAUGAUGCAUGAUGUAAAACAUGAUGUAAAAAACUUGUGUAGAUCCUCCUCUAUGUCAGUCCAUGUGUAAUUUUUCCAUAAUUCUUUGUUUUUUGCAGCAUUUUUGUUAGUGUAACUGCAGAUUGUGCUGACAGUGUCUAUGGCACAAAAAAAAAAAAAAAUUUAAAAUGCCUCAACAUGAACCCCUGGUGGUCUCUGAGGGUGAAACCUGCUAACUGCUGCAGCACUGUCAGCUUCAGUCUCCCAUGCAGAGCUCUGAGCGCAUGUGUGGCUCUGCACCCUUAGCAGCGUUGCUAACUCCUCAGUAAGGAAAGCCUGCUUCAUGUCAGAGUCUCUAAACUCCAGAAGAAGUCGAUAAAAGUCCCUUUCUUCCUAAAAAAAAGUCGUUAGGGGGUCUGAAAAGUCAUUGAAUCUAACAACAAAGUCGCUAGGUUUGCAACUACGUGUCCCAGACUGCAUCCCUGCUGAGAGUCCCUCCCUCCCUUCUCAUGUUGCAGGAAGAACGUAAGCGCCCGCCCCUUGUCAAUCAGUCACCAUAUAAUUUUGGAUUGGUUGUUGUGGUGAAGUUUUCCACCAAUAGGAGAGAUGUUGUGGUGUGUUUUUUUUUUCUUUUGGCAAGCCUUUUCCGCCUGUAAGACCUGUCGCUAAUGUCUGCAUGCUAUGUUUUCCUGUCUCAUACAGCGCGAUCGAGCGCCGAACGUGAUCAAAAUAAGCAGAAAAAAAGUAUCGCGGACAUAAUUUAUCAUAACUCUGGUUUUAUUUGGCCUAUCAACACAAUUUAAAAACUGGUAUAUAGGUUGAGGUCCUCACUUUUGAGAUAAGUUGAAACGGAGAGUCAACGAGGCUCCGUCUUGCAGCUACAUCCGGUUAAAUAUGUCAUGUGACUUGAACGCACACACAGACACACACACACGCACACACACACACACACACACACACUCAGAGUCUGGUUUUUAGCACCUGCAAAAACAUGCUAUUUACAUAUUUGACAAGAAUGCAGAGGCUCCUUUUGCCCCUGAAAAAAAUCAAAUUUCAAACACAACUUGACUGGUCAUUUCUCCAAAAGACAACCAUGAAGCUCCAUCCAAACCUGAAGCAGGCAGUUGGUGCAUGUGUACAGUAACCUGAGGGGAGUGAGGUGAGUGCUUCUGAGGAGAACAUGAGCAGUGAAGAUUCACCUUGGAGCUAGAACAGAGACAUGCACAUGAUUAUACAGGGGCAGGGGCUCAAGUUUUUUCCAGUCGUUUAUACAAUAUGGAAAUUAAUGUGAAAUUAAAACACAAAGUAUUAAUAGAAAGGUAAUGACUGUCCUGUGUAGGUGACAGUGAUAUCCAAUAGGCUAGGCACUCACGAAGCUGGCUGUGGCAAGUGUAAGUGAAAGCAACACGCACUGGCAGGAAGAACAGCAAACGCCGAUGAAGGAAAAGGGUCUUUGCAGUGAUGGGCGUUACCAGAGAGGGCGAUGGCCAGAGGACACAAAUGGGACGGGGAGGCAGCACGUUGGGGGGGGGGACGCGACACGGCUCGGGCCCGCCAGUGCCCCAACGGGGUCCUAGUUAUUAGGGCCCGAGCGUAGCUGCUAAGCAGCUGCGAGAGCCCUCUUGUUCCUGAUGGAUUCUUCUUUCGUUAUUUUUCCUCCGCUUUAAACUGGAAAAUGGCCCACUUCCCACUGGCGAAAACUCAGGAAAUUUGGCAGGACGACCGGGCCUGGUGAAAAAUUUGAUAUUCUGAAGUCGUCCAAACAAAAAAAUGAAAAAUGGCUCCAUAGCGCCCCCUAUGGUGAAAACUCACCUGAUGCCUGUACGCUUUGUCAAAAUGACACAAAAUUUGACACACAUGUGUAUCUCAAUAAGAUCUACGAAAAAGUCAGUGCGGGCGUAUCUGCCAAAUGUACGGUUAAAGGGCUAUUUCGCUUUUUUUGCCGAUCCGCACACAUUGGAAUUUCGCUAACUCCUCCGAAGGCUUUCGUUCCACCGGCACCAAGUUUGCUCAGGCCAAUCUACACCCCAUGGCCAUUAAAAGUUGUACAAAUCAUGAUGCUGCACCCCACGGUUUACUUUCUAGGGGGCGCCAAAGAUAACCCAAAAAUCCACAUUCUUAAAAGUCUUAUAACUUUUUAUUUUUGUCCUCACUGGCCUCCAAGUUUUCUAGGAUGAUGCAAUGUCCAGCCAUCAACACAUUUGUGAAGGAAUUUUUACUCCCCAAAAGAGCGCCCCCCCAUGGCAGGAGAAAAAAGUCCAUUUUUUCUUGUCUCCUAAGGUAAAAAUACACAUUGUUGAGUGUCACGCCUAUACACUUUGUCAUAUUGACACACAAUUUGACAAUCACGUGUAUCUCAAUAAGAUCUACAAAAAAGUCAAUAGGCACGUAUCUGUCAAAUGUAUGGUUAAAGGGCUAUUUCGCAUUUUUUGCCGAUUCGCACACAUUGGAAUGUGGCUAACUCCUCCUAAGGCUUUCGUCCCACCGAUACCAAAUUUGCUCAGGGCAAUCCACACCCCAUGGCCAUUCAAAGUUGUAAAAAUCAUGACGCUGCACCCCACGGUUUACGUUCUAGGGGGCGCCAAAGAUGACCCAAAAAUCCACAUUCUUAAAAGUCAUUUUGGCCACUGCAGGAGUACAGAGUACUGCAGUUCUAGGGGGCGCCAAAGAUGACCCAAAAAUCCACAUUCUUAAAAGUCUUUUUGGCCACUGCAGGAGUACAGAGUACUGCCGGACACACACACAUAUACACACACGCCCACACACACACACACACACACACACACACACACACACACACACACACACACACACACACUCAGAGUCUGUUUUUUAGCACCUGCAAAAACAUGCUGUUUACAUAUUUGACAAGAAUGCAGAGGCUUCCUUUUGCCCCUGAAAAAAAUCAAAUUUCAAACACAACUUGACUGUUCAUUUCUCCAAAAGACAACCAUGAAGCUCCAUCCAAACCUGAAGCAGAUAGUUGGUGCAUGUGUACAGUAACCUGAGGAGAGUGAGGUGACUACUUCUGAGGAGAACAUGAGCAGUGAAGAUUCACCUUGGAGCUAGAACAGGGACGUGCACAUGAUUAUACAGGGGCAGGGGCUCAAGUUUUUUCCAGUCAUUUAUACAAUAUGGAAAUUAAUGUGAAAUUAAACCACAAAUAUGUGUGAUGAACUGUUUUUAAAACUUAAACUUCAAAUAAAAAUUGUAAACUUCAAAACAUAUGCAAAUUUUUAACAAAGAACAUAGUAAUUUACCUCUAUUUACAUCAAAAUGCAGGCAAUGGCCCAGGCGUUCUUUGUAAAAUUAUUUACAAAACACUGUAUAGUCUCACAAAUGUCACUUUUUAUUUAUGCCACUACAAAAAAACAUGAUGCAAAUGAUGCAUGAUGUAAAACAUGAUGUAAAAAACUUGUGUAGAUCCUCCUCUAUGUCAGUCCAUGUGUAAUUUUUCCAUAAUUCUUUGUUUUUUGCAGCAUUUUUGUUAGUGUAACUGCAGAUUGUGCUGACAGUGUCUAUGGCAAAAAAAAAAAAAAACUGAAAAUGCCUCAACAUGAACUCCUGGUGGUCUCUGAGGGUGAAACCUGCUAACUGCUGCAGCUCUCUCAGCUCUAGUCUCCCAUGCAGAGCUCGGAGCGCAUGUGUGGCUCUGCACCCUUAGCAGCGUUGCUAACUCCUCAGUAAGGAAAGCCUGCUUCAUGUCAGAGUCUCUAAACUCCAGAGGAAGUCGAUAAAAUUCCCUUUCUUUCUAAAAAAGUCGUUAGGGGGUCUGAAAAGUCAUUGAAUCUAACAACAAAGUCGCUAGGUUUGCAACUACGUUUCCCAGACUGCAUCCCUGCUGAGAGUUCCUCCCUCCCUUCUCAUAUUGCAGGAAGAACGUAAGCGCCCGCCCCUUGUCAAUCAGUCACCAUAUAAUUUUGGAUUGGUUGUUGUGGUGAAGUUUUCCACCAAUAGGAGAGAUGUUGUGGUGUGUUUUUUUUUUCUUUUGGCAUGCCUUUUCCGCCUGUAAGAGCUGUCGCUAAUGUCUGCAUGCUAUGUUUUCCUGUCUCAUACAGCGUGAUCGAGCGCCGAACGUGAUCAAAAUAAGCAGAAAAAAAGUAUCGCGGACAUAAUUUAUCAUAACUCUGGUUUUAUUUGGCCUAUCAACACAAUUUAAAAAACUGGUAUAUAGUUUGAGGUCCUCACUUUUGAGAUAAGUUGAAACGGAGGGUGAACGAGGCUCCGUCUUGCAGCUACAUCCGGUUAAAUAUGUCAUGUGACUUGAACGCUGGGGAGCGUCAAUCGACUGCAGAGCCAGCAGACAAAGUAGUUAUGCCACUGAGAGGCACACAUUUGUCAUAUGCUAUAAUCCUAACAUAUUUUAAUGCUUUUUCUAUUUAAACCUAAUGGAUCUAAGGUUUGACCUUCAAAAUUUAGGAAGAAUAUGUUUUUGCAGUAAUGACCCCCUUAAACAACCAGAGGUCCUUUCCUAAAGUUUAUGGAAAUUUUAGUGAAGGCCUUGGUUUCUUUCCUUGCAAAAUGUAUAGAAAUAAUAAAGCUAAAUACCAUAAAAUGGUCUUGGCGUAUUAGCAGUGAUA